AGACAGAUCCUUCAGCCUCAGGAAAGCUUCUUGAUGACGCGGUCCUGGCUGACAACCGGACUGCAACCUCAUGAGAUACCCUGAGCCAGAACCACCAGCUAAGCCACUUCUCAAGUCCUGACUCACAGUGCUGCAAGAUAAUAAACGUUUUGGAGUCAUUCGUAACACAGCAAGUGAUAAUGAAGAUACGUGGGUUGAGUGGGGCUUUGCCUAAUAUGCCCUAGUGCCUCCUGAAAGUGAAUGAGGCCAGCUGGGAUGACUAGGCACUGCUCAGAGAGCUGGGGGUUUCUGGCUGUUCCUUUGUUUGCCCGUGGUGGCCAGCAUGUUUGCAGUUGGGAGGAUUCUUCACCAGUCUAACACAUGCCUCAGUUUUCUAGGUGAGAAACCCAGACAAGGCUGGCACUGCACAGAGAUGGAACCUGAUGAAACGGCCCCAUUUGAGCGCCUGCUGUAUCGCGUUGGCUCUGCUUCCUGCAGCUGUGCUCCAAGAUGAGCCUUUCAGACAUCGCUCCCUAAUAGCUCCAUCUCCCCCAGUCCAGGAGGAUGCGCAUUCCUCUCCUCAUUCACAUGCACCACUUCAAGCCAUCUGCACGCUCUACAGGGGACUUGCCGCCUAACAUCCUAAUGUGCAACCCCAUCCAAAUCCUCUGCUGGAAUCUCACUAUUUGCACCACUUACGCUCCUGGAGCGUGAAACAGAAGGGCCAGUCCUCUUGUCUCUUUAUUCUAAGUGUUUAAUACAGAUUCCAUGGACUUGGUCCAUAACAAUA